rnacentral:tRNA from 1 species
AAUGAGAUAGUUCAGAUUGGUAGAACGUCGGAAUCAUACCCCGAUGGUCGGGGGUUCAAUCCCCCCUCUCAUUA